rnacentral:rRNA from 1 species
GAUCAUGGCUCAGGACGAACGCUGGCGGCGCGCCUAACACAUGCAAGUCGAACGAGAGAGAGGGAGCUUGCUUCCUCGAUCGAGUGGCUAACGGGUGAGUAACGCGUGAGGAACCUGCCUCAAAGAGGGGGACAACAGUUGGAAACGACUGCUAAUACCUCAUAAGCCCACGACCCGGCAUCGGGAAGAGGGAAAAGGAGCAAUCCGCUUUGAGAUGGCCUCGCGUCCGAUUAGCUAGUUGG